AGUGAACGCUGGCGGUAGGCCUAACACAUGCAAGUCGAACGGCAGCACAGUAAGAGCUUGCUAUUACGGGUGGCGAGUGGCGGACGGGUGAGGAAUACAUCGGAAUCUACUUUUUCGUGGGGGAUAACGUAGGGAAACUUACGCUAAUACCGCAUACGACCUACGGGUGAAAGCAGGGGAUCUUCGGACCUUGCGCGAUUGAAUGAGCCGAUGUCGGAUUAGCUAGUUGGCGGGGUAAAGGCCCACCAAGGCGACGAUCCGUAGCUGGUCUGAGAGGAUGGACGGCCACACUGGAACUGAGACACGGUCCAGACUCCUACGGGGGGCACCGGAGGGGAAUAUUGGACAAUGGGGACAAGCCGAAUCCAGCCAUACCGGGUGGGGAAGGAAGGCCUUCGGGUGGUAAAGCCCUUUUGUAGGGAAAGAAGAGCAGCAGGUUAAUACCCCGCUAUUCUGACGGUACCCAAAGAAUAAGCACCGGCUAACUUCGUG
rnacentral:rRNA from 1 species